AAGGCUACUGUUUACACACAGGGGGACAGCAGACCCCCCACGGACCCAGGUCAUGGGGGUCCGCGGUUUUCCACUUGGGGGCUCUGUACUUUGCAGCAGCAUACCCCCCUACACUAGAGCAAGGGGGCUUUAAACACAGAUUUGCGGACUCCCCCCUCCCCUUACAGUAAGGGCACAGAGGCCCAUUACACCGGGCCCCCUACCCUAAUAGGAGGGACACACUGGGCCUUCACGCCGGCUUUUCC